rnacentral:pre_miRNA from 1 species
UCUGACCGGUCCCACAUCUGACGACGACGGCGGGGCCACCGGAGAUCUCCGGUGGCCCCGCCGUCGUCGUGUGCGGUGAGAGUGCGCAAG